UUAUAAUUAAGUGUUAUUACACUAAGAACUUUGAACUCUUAAAAACUACAAUGAUAGUAAUAUAAG
rnacentral:tRNA from 1 species